GGUCACACAAACCAUAUCAAGCAAAGAGCCGCCGCCUUCUCCGCCUGCCUGCCGCCUUCAUCUCCGGGCCGUCGGCAGACUCCCCAUGCACCACCUCGUCCACCAGCUCCUUGAAUACCGACCUCUCGAUCUCCAGCACCAUCCCAGGGAGCUCCCUGCUGAAGCUCGUCCAUCCCUGCAGCCUCUGCAGGAUCUCUGCGUCAGGUAUCACGCCGCCUUCCAUCUGGCAGGUGGACGAUCGCUCCGUACCCAUGCCUUCGAUUUCUGAAGAUACAAACUUCAGCAGUUGCUGCCCGCUAAGAGCCUUUGCAGGUGGAUGAUCCUUCGCUCCGGUGGAGGAACUGACCGCGUAAACUGUGGUUUCCUUCUCAAACUUCUGGAGGAGAAGCUCGUUCGCGGUGUCAAACACCAGCUUCCGGUGCGCUCUCUUGGGAUCAGACUUGGCGCCGCUCCUGCUCUGGUGGAUGCCGUCAGGUAUGCUGGCCCAUCCUGCCUUUCUUUGCUCCAGCACGUGGAACAAGUCAGGGUUGAUCGGGUAGCCAGAGGAGUGGAGCUGGAGCUGGAGGCCUGCCUGUCCUGAACCUAGCUCUUUCAUCAGAAGACCCGAGGCCAGCAGUAUCUCAGACACGUAACGGUGGUCCGGGCUUUCUGUCUCGCACAGGAAAGCCAUAUGGUCGACCGGAGGUUUCAGGGAACAAUGCAGAAGUCAAUGCCUGGGUGACGACAAAUUCAGUAAACAAUCAUGCGCGCGCUAGUUAAUCGUUCUAGCACGUCUCAGUUUACAGAUAGCAAGUGAAGUUAGCUAAGAGCUCAAACAUUCUCCUAGUCUUUUUCAUUUAGGGGGUCUCUAAUGUUGCUGUCGUGUAAAUUUCACUUACUGUUGUCAAAUUUGUAAACUAUAACCUAUGCAAUACUUGAGAUUGAAUUCACACUGCAUGGACUGAUUUAUUUACACGUCCUUAAUGA